ACUCAAAUGCGUAUAGUUUGUAGGGAAGACCAGUGGGGUAGGCGGUCCUCUGGACUGUUCUAGACACUGUGACUCGAAGUCAGGGGAGUCAAGGGAAUCGGAUACCCCUGUAGUCUUGGCAGUAAACUGUGCACAUUUGAUGUCUACAGAUUCGAUUCCACUUGCGUCGGAGGCAAUGGAUCAAGGCAGUUUCGUGAGGAGCACCGUGGCUAGACUAAAACUCAACGAAAUUGACUGGGCGCAGCACAAGCGGUGGAGUAUGUCGCUCAAUUUGAUGCAAAGGGAAGAACCUUACCAGUCCUUGACAUGCAUGUCUAGUACGUAGAAAGCGGUUGAUUGUCGAAAGACACAAUUUCCACAGGUGACGCUUGUCUGUAGUCAAAGGGGGUUACAAGAUGAGAAGUUUAAUCCCGCAAGGAGCGCAACCCCUCGAACUUUUGCCCCGGAACCAAGAGGUUCCAGCACUCUGUUCAUAGGAGUCGGUUAAACGAGGAGGAAGGUGGGGACGACGUCAAGUCAGUAUGGCCCUUACGAUCAUAGCUGCACAGAUCCUACAAUUCCCAGUACAGAUAGUUGGGAGAGCGCCAGGUCGAGGAAAUCAUUUAAACCUGGGCCCAGUUCGGCUUUGAGCACGCAAUUAUCCUCCAGGAAGUGGGAACCGUUAGUAAGGGUGUAUCAGAUAUGGGGCCGGGAAUACGUUCCCGGGCGCAGUACUCACCCCCGGUCACAUCUCGAAAACCGUUUGUACCUGAAGUGGCCCCGAAAAAGGCGCCGAAGCUAUGGAUGGUGAUUGGGAUGAAGUCCUAACACGGUAACC
rnacentral:rRNA from 1 species